AGCGAACGCUGGCGGCAGGCCUAACACAUGCAAGUCGAACGAACUCUUCGGAGUUAGUGGCGGACGGGUGAGUAACACGUGGGAACGUGCCUUUAGGUUCGGAAUAACUCAGGGAAACUUGAGCUAAUACCGGAUGUGCCCUUCGGGGGAAAGAUUUAUCGCCUUUAGAGCGGCCCGCGUCUGAUUAGCUAGUUGGUGAGGUAAAGGCUCACCAAGGCGACGAUCAGUAGCUGGUCUGAGAGGAUGAUCAGCCACAUUGGGACUGAGACACGGCCCAAACUCCUACGGGAGGCAGCAGUGGGGAAUCUUGCGCAAUGGGCGAAAGCCUGACGCAGCCAUGCCGCGUGAAAGAUGAAGGUCUUAGGAUUGUAAAAUUCUUUCACCGGGGACGAUAAUGACGGUACCCGGAGAAGAAGCCCCGGCUAACUUCGUG
rnacentral:rRNA from 1 species